CCCUGUUCUUCAGGUCACAGAGCCAUGGCAAUGUUCUCUGAACAAUAAAGAACAGAUUAUGCUACAAACUCUGAGAAUGCAAAAGUGGACCUUUUCCCAACUUGACCCAACAUUCAGGAACCCUCUGCCCAUUUGGGUAUAUUACCUCAAGAAGGAAUGGUGUUGUAAACAGGGCUCAGACAUGUAAGCCCUUCCAGGUCCACCUUUGCCCCCAAAGUCCUGAGUGAGUUGGAUUUUCUGGGGUACGUUCAGGAAACUUACUGUGCCAGAGCACAGGCAUGUAUCUGAGUGAACUGAUUGCAUUUCAGCAGCUUCCCUGGAGCCAAGUCUUCUCACAAUUUUUUCAAUAAAAUAUUCCGGCAAUAGUCUUAUUUCUCUCCU
rnacentral:lncRNA from 1 species